AUGGACAUUAGACUGUUGGUAUUGGUAUUAUUUUGGGUUUGUGUUGAGAAAUCUGCUGAGGACUGUCUCAACUACCUUCAGAGAACUACACAUAUCACCAUGUUUCCUACCACAGCAGUAUUCUUACUGACAGUCUAUCUAACAGGUGUUCAUGGUCAGACACUGACUGAGUCUGGACCAGUGGUUAAAAAGCCUGGAGAAUCCCACAAACUGACCUGUACAGCCUCUGGGUUCACGUUCAGUAACUAUUAUAUGGGCUGGAUCAGACAAGAAAAAGGGAAAGAGUUUGAGUGGAUUGGUCAUAUUCAUGGUGGUAAUACGUAUUACUCCCAGUCAUUUCAGGGUAGAUUCACCCUCUCCAGGGAUGACUCCAGGAGUAAACUGUACCUACAGAUGAACAGCCUGAAGAGUGAGGACACAGCAGUGUAUUACUGUGCCCGGUACACACAGUAA